rnacentral:rRNA from 1 species
UAACNCGACGCGCCGNUNUAUGCCUCUAGCAUUUAGCCGUUGGUCUUAGUCUCACACUGGCCGCUCAGUUUGUACAGCCUAACACAUGCAAGUCGAACGGUAGCACAGAGAGCUUGCUCUCGGGUGACGAGUGGCGGACGGGUGAGUAAUGUCUGGGAAACUGCCCGAUGGAGGGGGAUAACUACUGGAAACGGUAGCUAAUACCGCAUAACGUCGCAAGACCAAAGAGGGGGACCUUCGGGCCUCUUGCCAUCGGAUGUGCCCAGAUGGGAUUAGCUUGUAGGUGAGGUAACGGCUCACCUAGGCGACGAUCCCUAGCUGGUCUGAGAGGAUAGACCAGCCACACUGGAACUGAGACACGGUCCAGACUCCUACGGGAGGCAGCAGUGGGGAAUAUUGCACAAUGGGCGCAAGCCUGAUGCAGCCAUGCCGCGUGUAUAGAAGAAGGCCUUCGGGUUGUAAAGUACUUUUUCAGGCGGGGAGGAAGGGAGUGAGGUU